GAAGAGAGAGUUCAAGAGUACGUGAAACCGUUCAGGGGUAAACCUGAGAAACCCAAAAGAUCGAACGGGGAGAUUCAUCGUCAGCGGCGCUGGCUUCCGUGCGGUGCGCGAUGUCGCGCGAGCGGGUCUCGGCUCGUUUCGCGCUGGCACGCCACCGCUGCGCGAUGCGUCCGGCGUCGUCGGCGUGCACUUCUCCCCUUGUAGAACGUCGCGACCCGUUGGGUGUCGGUCCACGGCCCGCUGUGUCGACUGUCGAGGAACGCGUUCACGCGCGUCCCUAGGCAGACACGCGGUCGCCCGGCCGGCUGCCCGGCGGUAGCAGUAUCUUCCUUAUGUCGUAACGAGCCGCACAAAGUGCGUACUCCGGCUCGACGGCAGGCUCGCCUCGCUCGGCGUUUACGGACCUGGUGCCGUUGUCGAGCGUUGUCUGCGGGCCGUUUCGCCGUCGAUGUCCUCGUACCGGCUCUCGAAAGUUCGCCUCGGCGGACGAUACCUGUCGGCGACGCUACUGCUUUGGGUACUUUCAGGACCCGUCUUG
rnacentral:rRNA from 1 species